rnacentral:rRNA from 1 species
UACGCUGGCGGCGCGCAUAACACAUGCAAGUCGAGCGAGGGCUCAUUUCCCGCAAGGGAGAUGGGUUCCUAGCGGCGAACGGGUGAGUAACACGUGGGCAACCUUUCCUAUCGCGGGGGAUAACAGCGGGAAACCGCUGCUAAUACCGCAUGUCGUCAUCGGUCGCAUGGCCGGUGAAGAAAGCAGCAAUGCACGAUGGGGUGGGCCCGCGGCCUAUCAGCUAGUCGGUGGGGUAACGGCCUACCGAGGCGAUGACGGGUAGCUGGUCUGAGAGGACGACCAGCCACACGGGGACUGAGACACGGCCCCGACUCCUACGGGAGGCAGCAGUGAGGAAUCUUCCGCAAUGGGCGAAAGCCUGACGGAGCGACGCCGCGUGUGGGAUGAAGUCCUUCGGGAUGUAAACCACUGUUGGAGGGGAAGACUUCGACGGUACCCUCCGAGAAAGCCCCGGCUAACUACGUGCCAGCAGCCGC